rnacentral:rRNA from 1 species
CUGUCGUAAAACACAUGAUAGGUAAUUCCUGCCCAGUGACUCAACAAGUUCAACGGCCGCGGUAUCCUAACCGUGCAAAGGUAGCAUAAUCACUUGCCCAUUAAUUGUGGGCUAGAAUGAAAGGACUAACGAAAUAGAUACUGUCUCUAUAAGUAACAUAAAAAUUAAUCUCUAGCUGAAGAGUGCUAGAUUUAAUCGAAGGACAAGAAGACCCUAUAGAGCUUUAUUUAAUAAAAGUAUAACCUAACUUUUUAUAAUUCGGUUGGGGCGACCAGGGAAACAAUAAAUCAUCCCUCAUUAUAAGAUAAAUAAAUCUCUCCUAUGACCCUUGAAAAAGAUCAAAAAACCAAGCUACCUUAGGGAUAACAGGCUAAUCCUAUUAAAGAGUCCUUAUCAAUAAUAGGGUUUGGCACCUCGAUGUUGGCUUAGGGAAUCUAUAAGACGCAAAAGUCAUAUAAAGAUGGUUUGUUCAACCAAUAAUACCCUACAUGAGCUGAGUUCAGACCGGCGUAAGCCAGGUUAGUUUCUAUCCUCGAUAAAAAAUUCUAUUUAUAGUACGAAAGGACCUAAAUAUGAGUAAUAAUUAUAAGCCAAGAACACAUAUAAAACUAAUUAAGAAACCGUAUACAUAUACUAUG